GCAGUUGUUAGGUUAAGGUGAUGUUGUAUGGUUACCUCGACUUGCAGAGCCUUAUUUAAACCAUUAAUGAAAAUCUCCACCUCUUGCUUUGGAGUGAGCCUCCUUGAUCUGGGCAAUAAUUGUUCAAACUGACAUUGGUAUUCCUUCACUGACCUUGUUUGGCUUAAUUUGAACAAAGCUCCAAGCUGACCUCCACAGGGCUUAUCCGAGGCCCAAAACAUUG
rnacentral:misc_RNA from 1 species